AGUGAACGCUGGCGGUAGGCCUAACACAUGCAAGUCGAACGGCAGCACAGGAGAGCUUGCUCUCUGGGUGGCGAGUGGCGGACGGGUGAGGAAUACAUCGGAAUCUACUCUGUCGUGGGGGAUAACGUAGGGAAACUUACGCUAAUACCGCAUACGACCUACGGGUGAAAGCAGGGGACCUUCGGGCCUUGCGCGAUUGAAUGAGCCGAUGUCGGAUUAGCUAGUUGGCGGGGUAAAGGCCCACCAAGGCGACGAUCGGUAGCUGGUCUGAGAGAAUGAUCAGCCACACUGGAACUGAGACACGGUCCAGACUCCUACGGGAGGCAGCAGUGGGGAAUAUUGGACAAUGGGCGCAAGCCUGAUUCAGCCAUACCGCGUGGGUGAAGAAGGCCUUCGGGUUGUAAAGCCCUUUUGUUGGGAAAGAAAUCCAGCUGGCUAAUACCCGGUUGGGAUGACGGUACCCAAAGAAUAAGCACCGGCUAACUUCGUGCCAGCAGCCGCCGUAA
rnacentral:rRNA from 1 species